rnacentral:tRNA from 1 species
UCCCUGGUAGUAUAUCGGUUUAGUACACGCGCCUGUCAUAUAUGUGCCUCAGCCAAGAAGGACGCGCGAAAGCUGGGUUCGACUCCCAGCCAGGGAG